rnacentral:rRNA from 1 species
UACGUAGGGGGCAAGCGUUGUCCGGAUUUACUGGGCGUAAAGCGCGUGUAGGCGGCGACGAAAGUCCGGUGUGAAAGCCCCCCGCUCAACGGGGGAAGGUCGCUGGAAACUGCGUUUCUUGAGGGCGGCAGAGGGAAGUGGAAUUGCUGGUGUAGCGGUGAAAUGCGUAGAGAUCAGCAGGAACACCCGUGGCGAAGGCGGCUUCCUGGGCCGCGCCUGACGCUGAGACGCGAAAGCGUGGGGAGCGAACGGG